GUGGGGAAUCUUGCGCAAUGGGCGAAAGCCUGACGCAGCCAUGCUGCGUGAAUGAUGAAGGUCUUAGGAUUGUAAAAUUCUUUCACCGGGGACGAUAAUGACGGUACCCGGAGAAGAAGCCCCGGCUAACUUCGUGCCAGCAGCCGCGGUAAUACGAAGGGGGCUAGCGUUGCUCGGAAUUACUGGGCGUAAAGGGCGCGUAGGCGGACAGUUUAGUCAGAGGUGAAAGCCCAGGGCUCAACCUUGGAAUUGCCUUUGAUACUGGCUGUCUUGAGUACGGGAGAGGUGAGUGGAACUCCGAGUGUAGAGGUGAAAUUCGUAGAUAUUCGGAAGAACACCAGUGGCGAAGGCGACACACUGGCUCAUUACUGACGCUGAGACGCGAAAGCGUGGGGAGCAAACAGGAUUAGAUACCCCUGUAGUCC
rnacentral:rRNA from 1 species